GACUACACCUACGAGCGGACGCUGAUGAUGGAGCAGCGCUCGCAGAUGCUGCGGCAGCUGCGCCGCGCCCAGGGAGGCCACGCCCUCUCGCAGCCGCCCAGCGCUGAGGAGGAGGAGGGGGAGGGGGGAGAGCCCCGGCGGGGACCCAGUCCGGGGAAUGUCCGGCGCAUGCACGCGGCCGAGCGCCUCAACGCCGCCAUCGCUGCCCACUCGGGGGGGGCGGGGCUG